GUGGAGAGUUAGCAGUAACAUAACUGCCGCUCUUCAUGUUCUGUUUUUCUCUCUCUCUCUCUUCACAUUUGUUUUUGAGCUCUCUUUCUCUUUCUUUCUGUUCCUUCAUUAGGGUUUCGAUCAGAUGUUCCGUCAAUCCAUAGCGUUUACUCCGCCGGUCCAUGGCUCUGAUGCGCCGCCGCCGCAACAGCAGCAAUCUCAGCAGCAGCCGACGGUUGUGAACGUGAGCGAGAGCUCUAGAAGGCAACAGAUUGCAGCGGCUUCUUCCUCGCCGGUGAAAUCUCAUCCGCUUCAUAACUUCCCGCUUUCUGAUCUCAGGUGGGCUAUGAAUCACGCCAAUACACAUCGGCUCCGGAAACCAUCCGGCAGAUCUCCACUCCGUGAAGCUACUAAUCAUGGCAAAGGGACUGAGGAGGUGAACGAAGCAUCUGGCUCUUCAUCCUUUGAAUUGAGACCGGAGAAGCAGAAGAAGAAGGAUGUUGUCAGUGACUCCGCCGCAGAUCGAUCCGGACCUAAGUCAACGGCGGCGGACGGUAGAUCGAAGAUCUUUAUCCGGAUCCGCACGAAGAACAACGAAGAAACAGCUGAGGCCGCCACCACAGCAGUCUCCGCCGCCACCGUCGUCGCUGAUGUUCAUGAGGCUGAUGAUUCAGCUGAGCCGGUGAUUGAUGCUGAUGUAUCUAUCGGUGAACGGAUCUCCGAUGGUGGUGGUGGUGGUCAGGAAGGAGAUGAGUUUGGUCCGAAGACUUGGAAUCUGAGACCGAGGAAACCGCCGACGAAGAAGCGUUCAAUUGGAGGAAACUGUGGUGGAAGUGGAACAGUAUUGACGGAGAACAAAACUCAGGGAACGGUUAGAACAGAGGCGAUUCGAUCCAGGAACGGUGUGGAUGCUAAGAUUGCGACAACGACGGAGAGGAAGGAGAAGAAACCGAGGUUAUCGAUCUCGCUAUCAAAGUUGGAGAUAGAUGAGGAUAUCUACUCGUUGACCGGAUCAAAACCUAGCAGAAGACCAAAGAAGAGAGCCAAAAACGUGCAGAAGCAGCUCGAUGUUCUUUUUCCAGGUUUGUGGAUGGGUAACGUUUCUUCAGAUGCUUACAAGGUCUCAGAACAUGCUUGAAAGAGGUAUAUAACCUUUUGAUGAAUCCGAUUAGGAUGUCUUUUGAUUUCCCUAUGUAUCUGUUUUCUGUAAGUUGUAGGGUUCAUGUGAAGUUAGUCUUGUUUGAUUGGCUUCUACUGAAACCUCAUUGAAUAAGCUUUAUUCCACGGAUUAAGAGAUGUAAUUGACUCGCUUCUUCAAGCCUUAGCUUCAUUUUUUCUGGGCGUGUGUAAUACUGUCUCGAGGUUUCAAAGCACUGAAUCGAACUUUAGCUUCAGAUUGGGUCCUAACUGGCUGCAGAAAUAUGAAUCAUAUACUAGCUCUGAUCCGACCGCCUUAUUUGCUUGCUGCCACUGAUGUGAUGAUACGACUUUAGGGUUUUUCUUCUGUUUAUGCACUUCUUGUUGUUGACCCUUUGUAAUUAGUUUAGUCGGUAGUAGUAUACUCUGUUUUUUUUAUUUCAAAUUUUCAUUGGUUGAACAAUUGGGCAUAUAUAUUGCAUUUCUAUAAAAAAAAUAGUUGAUUA